AUUGAACGCUGGCGGCAGGCCUAACACAUGCAAGUCGAACGAGUGGCGGACGGGUGAGUAAUGUCUGGGCAACUGCCCGAUGGAGGGGGAUAACUACUGGAAACGGUAGCUUAUACCGCAUACCAUCGGCUUUGCCCAGAUGGGAUUAGCUUGUAGGUGGGGUAACGGCUCACCUAGGCGCCGAUCCCUAGCUGGUCUGAGAGGAUGACCAGCAACGCUGGAACUGAGACACGGUAAGGACUCCUACGGGAGGCAGCAGUGGGGAAUAUUGCACAAUGAGCACAAGCCUGAUGCAGCCAUGCGGCGUGUGUGAAGAAGGCCUUCGGGUUGUAAAGUACUUUCAGCGGGGAGGCGUGACUCGCAGAAGAAGCACCGGCUAACUCCGUGCCAGCCGCCGCGGUAAUAC
rnacentral:rRNA from 1 species